CCUGCUCAGAUUGAACGCUGGCGGCAGGCCUAACACAUGCAAGUCGAGCGGUAGAGAGAAGCUUGCUUCUCUUGAGAGCGGCGGACGGGUGAGUAAAGCCUAGGAAUCUGCCUGGUAGUGGGGGAUAACGUUCGGAAACGGACGCUAAUACCGCAUACGUCCUACGGGAGAAAGCAGGGGACCUUCGGGCCUUGCGCUAUCAGAUGAGCCUAGGUCGGAUUAGCUAGUUGGUGAGGUAAUGGCUCACCAAGGCGACGAUCCGUAACUGGUCUGAGAGGAUGAUCAGUCACACUGGAACUGAGACACGGUCCAGACUCCUACGGGAGGCAGCAGUGGGGAAUAUUGGACAAUGGGCGAAAGCCUGAUCCAGCCAUGCCGCGUGUGUGAAGAAGGUCUUCGGAUUGUAAAGCACUUUAAGUUGGGAGGAAGGGCAGUUACCUAAUACGUGAUUGUUUUGACGUUACCGACAGAAUAAGCACCGGCUAACU
rnacentral:rRNA from 1 species